rnacentral:rRNA from 1 species
UACGGAGGGUGCAAGCGUUGUCCGGAAUCAUUGGGCGUAAAGGGCGCGUAGGUGGCCCGGUCAGUCAGUGGUGAAAGCGCGGGGCUCAACUCCGCGUCGGCCAUUGAUACUGCUGGGCUUGAGCACUGUAGAGGCAGGCGGAAUUCCGGGUGUAGCGGUGGAAUGCGUAGAGAUCCGGAAGAACACCGGUGGCGAAGGCGGCCUGCUGGGCAGUAGCUGACACUGAGGCGCGACAGCGUGGGGAGCAAACAGG